rnacentral:rRNA from 1 species
UACGGAGGGUGCGAGCGUUGUUCGGAAUCACUGGGCGUAAAGCGCGUGCAGGCGGGCGGUCAAGUCCGAUGUGAAAGCCCUGGGCCCAACCCAGGAACUGCAUUGGAAACUAGCCGUCUUGAGUACGGGAGAGGGAAGUGGAAUUCCUAGUGUAGAGGUGAAAUUCGUAGAUACUAGGAGGAAUACCGGUGGCGAAGGCGGCUUCCUGGACCAGUACUGACGCUCAGACGCGAAAGCGUGGGGAUCAAACAGG